rnacentral:lncRNA from 1 species
AGCAAUAGCUUUAAUAAUAGAAGAGCUGUCUCUCAGUUGUCCAGUUCUUCUCUGCUUACUGAAGUAAUAUGGUGACUACAGACACCCAUGAGCCUUACAGAUUUUAAAACAAGUUGACUGAAGAUGUGAUAUACGCCAACUUUGACAAAGAAGGGAAACUAUCGCCACAUGCCUGCAUUCUUGUUGACCGAAGCUUUUUACUUCUCACUUGAAUCUCAUUUUUAAUCCUCAGAAAUAUACUUUCCUCCUCAAUCAUAGUGAUUCAUAACCUUCUAAAACCUUACGAUUCUGAAAACCUACACAAACACUUUGGGACCUGUCCCAGCCCUUGACUCGCUGUCGGUAUUCUUAAGAUGACCACAGUGAGUAGCAUUGAAGAGCCAACGUUCAAAUGAGUAGCAUUGAAGAGCCAAGAGCCAACAUUCAAAUGCUUCUCCCACAAGAGAUUCAGCAUUCUGCAGAGCUGGAUGAUUCUCAGAUCACCACUUAGCUUCCUGAAGCCAGCAGCCUAUGUCAAAGAAGUUCCAACAAAUGCAAACCUAAAUAUGAUAAAUGGAAGGAGGAGAAUGUGUGGGCUCAAAGAACUCAGGCAGUAAUGAAAAACCGGGAGGAAGUGAAAUGAGGUAAUUUGAUGCCAGCAUGGAAUAUUGGACUAAAAUAUUUGAAAAAGAAGC